AAACGAAAUGCAAUUAUUUUCGGAACAACUUUCGUCUGGUGAAUGGAGAAAUUAAAAUUCUUCUUGUUCUUCUUGGAUACUCGCGAGUCGCGACUUUCCUCUGUUCCACAGCUAGAAGUGUCAUUAAACGAGAUGUUUUCAAAACAACCCAAUAGAUGCAUUAGUUAUAACACUUUAUAAAUAGCUCUACUUCAGCUAUACCCAUUUCGGUUGUUACUACGAGAAAAUGAGAUCGCAUCUUGUAUCAGUCUCGCCAAUCUUUAAGUCAUCAUCGUGAAGUUGUACAUCUGUACAGCAAAUAAGAUGUCUCUUUGCACAUCCAUUAAUACUGCAAAAGAAUUCUUUUUUGAUUAAAGAAGAAGUCCAAUAUCGGCAGCAAUCUGCAGAAUAAUCCAACUCGUCGCAGUAAGUGAUGAUUUGAUUUUCCUUAUGGCGAAGUUUUGAAGUAAAAGGACGAAGGCGGUAAAUUUUUUUCUACUUUUUUAUUAAUUUGUUGGACAUUUUUUGAUUUUUAUGAUUCCAAGCAUUUUCUAAUCAGUGGUUGUGAAGUUGCCACUUGUAAUUUUGUCAAUAGGUGAGGUUCGAAUUCGUCCACCAGGGGGUGUGGUCUUCGGUAGCCAAAUCAAUUCACGUGACGUCAUUCGUUUCUGGACGCUGAUGCUGUAUGGUGUAUUAUGAUUUGUAUUCGAUUACUUCGGGUUUCCAACAUUUUCCACCAUGAAUAUAGAAAGUCCCACUCCCAGUGUGUCAUCUGACCAUGUGGCCUGAAAUUGCUGUCCGUGUGCCGGAAUGUCGUCUCGUACCAGAAACUUAAUUUCAAUGCUAAUUCAAUCUUUUUAAGCUGGUGAACGGUGGUGUUUGCUGCUUAAUGUGUUGAUGGUGAAAGGUGUGCUCAACUCGGAACAAGCUGUUGUUGUCUCUUGUGUUGGUGAAUCUACAGUUACUUUGCUAACCUUCUUCAGCUUCUCUGGAUACAAUAUUCAACAUGUUAAACUGUUUGAUGCCAAAGUUGUCAGAAUUCUAACCCUAACAGUUGCUGCUGCCUCUCACCCACAAGCAGAAAAGUUACUCAAUUUCUUAAGACAAAAUUUGUAAUAAAAUAGGUUCAACAGCCAGCUGAUAUCUCUGCAUUGUUGUUUAACACAACAUGGUUAUUUGGUGUAGCCAGCCGGUGAAAGGCGUCAUCAAAUCAAGUUCAGCUGUGGCACGGAGUCUGUGGUGCCGGUGUAUUCUGGAGCGUGUUGGUGUUCUGUGAAAUGUUUUGCUUAAACUGUUUUGUGUGUCCUUUGGGCCCACCUAGGUUAGGUUCUUUUGUUAACAUGUUUCCGUACCGGAACCUAGCGUUGGGCCCAAGAUACUUGAGGAGAUUAUUUGCCAUUGAAGUAAUUUAUGAUAGACAAAUGCAUAUUGUACUCUCUUCAGUGAAGCCUCGUUUCCAUAACUAACAAACGACCGCUGUGCAAUACUCCAAAAGGAGAAGGAAGUCGGUGAAAUAAUGAACAGCUAGUCCCACUGCGGAACCCGAAAUGAGCGGCGAGAUUGUCUCAAAUGUUGAUCUGAUCUAACUAUUUCCAGAAGUAGAUCAUAUCUUUUAGUUCAAUCGUUCGCCGCCGUUCCAUCAACAAUAUCCAUUGUCGAUACUGAUGAGAGGCUGAAAUUUGAGAUUGAUUGAUAAAUCACAAGUGUAUAUAUCUGUGUUCCCUCUCUGUUUCCUUAAGUAAACAGUAAGCAACUCCCCCCCCCUCAAUCACCCUCUGUGAUAACCGUGAUGAAACGCAUGAUUUGAGCAAAACCUUUGAAGGGCUUUCAGUCUAACCCUCCUUUGAUUAAUCGCUCCCGUAAUAACAUUUUCACAACUCCUUAAUUUUUGUAUAUAAUUCCUUUUUUUUUCCUUCACAUAUCAUGCUAUCUUUACUUUACAAGUGCAUAUCAUAUCUUUGCUCUCUCCCCGUUUCCUUAAGUAAACAGUAAGUAACCAACUUCCCCCUCCCAGUCGUCAACCCACAUGAUACGAGCAAAACAUUUGAAAUUUUUUUAGUCUAACCCUCCUAUGAAUAAUUACUCCCGUAAUAACCGA